GGUCAAGCGAAUAAGCGCACACGGUGGAUGCCUUGGCGGUCAGAGGCGAUGAAGGACGUGGCAGCCUGCGAAAAGUAUCGGGGAGCUGGCAACAAGCUUUGAUCCGGUAAUGUCCGAAUGGGGAAACCCACCCGCUUGCGGGUAUCCUGCAGUGAAUACAUAGCUGCUGGAAGCGAACCUGGUGAACUGAAAUAUCUAAGUAACCAGAGGAAAAGAAAUCAACCGAGAUUCCGUAAGUAGCGACGAGCGAACGCGGACUAGCCCUUAAGCUGAUUUGGUUCUAGGAAAACGCUCUGGAAAGAGUGGCCAUAGAAGGUGAUAGCCCUGUAUCUGAAAGGGCCAUUUCAGUGAAGACGAGUAGGGCGGGGCACGUGAAACCCUGUCUGAACAUGGGGGGACCAUCCUCCAAGGCUAAAUACUACUGACCGACCGAUAGUGAACCAGUACCGUGAGGGAAAGGCGAAAAGAACCCCGGAGAGGGGAGUGAAAUAGAACCUGAAACCGUGUGCGUACAAGCAGUAGGAGCUCCGCAAGGAGUGACUGCGUACCUUUUGUAUAAUGGGUCAGCGACUUACUGUUCGUGGCAAGCUUAACCGUAUAGGGGAGGCGAAGGGAAACCGAGUCUGAUAAGGGCGCAUAGUCGCGGGCAGUAGACCCGAAACCGGGUGAUCUAGUCAUGCCCAGGGUGAAGGUGCGGUAACACGCACUGGAGGCCCGAACCCACUCCCGUUGCAAAGGUAGGGGAUGAGGUGUGAUUAGGAGUGAAAAGCUAAUCGAACCCGGAGAUAGCUGGUUCUCCUCGAAAGCUAUUUAGGUAGCGCCUCAUAUGUAUCCUCUCGGGGGUAGAGCACUGUUAUGGCUAGGGGGUCAUCGCGACUUACCAAACCAUUGCAAACUCCGAAUACCGAGACGGACUGUAUGGGAGACACACGGCGGGUGCUAACGUCCGUCGUGAAAAGGGAAACAACCCAGACCCACAGCUAAGGUCCCAAAUUUUGUGCUAAGUGGAAAACCAUGUGGAAAGGCACAGACAGCCAGGAGGUUGGCUUAGAAGCAGCCACCCUUUAAAGAAAGCGUAAUAGCUCACUGGUCGAGUCGGUCUGCGGGGAAGAUUUAACGGGGCUAAGCACAGAACCGAAGCUUGGGGUGCAUAACUUUGUUAUGCGCGGUAGAGGAGCGUUCCGUAAGCCGUUGAAGGUGGAUUGAGAAGUCUGCUGGAGGUAUCGGAAGUGCGAAUGCUGACAUGAGUAACGAUAAUGCGGGUGAAAAACCCGCACGCCGAAAGCCCAAGGUUUCCUUGCGCAACGUUAAUCGGCGCAGGGUGAGUCGGCCCCUAAGGCGAGGACGAAAGUCGUAGUCGAUGGGAAGCAGGUUAAUAUUCCUGCACCUCGCGUAAGUGCGAUGGAGGGACGGAGAAGGUUAGGUGUACCAGGCGUUGGUUGUCCUGGGGAAAGGCGGUAGGUUUGGAUCUUUGGCAAAUCCGGGAUCCUUUAAGACCGAGCACCGAGACGAGCCUUUAUGGCGAAGUCACUGAUACCACGCUUCCAGGAAAAGCUCCUAAGCUUCAGCUUACGCAGACCGUACCGUAAACCGACACAGGUGGGUAGGAUGAGAAUUCUCAGGCGCUUGAGAGAACUCGGGUGAAGGAACUAGGCAACAUGGCACCGUAACUUCGGGAGAAGGUGCACCCUUUUUGGUGGCUCGUGCGAGCUAUAGCUGAAGAGGGUCGCAGUAACCAGGCCGCUGCGACUGUUUAUCAAAAACACAGCACUCUGCAAACACGAAAGUGGACGUAUAGGGUGUGACGCCUGCCCGGUGCUGGAAGGUUAAUUGAUGGGGUCAGCCGCAAGGCGAAGCUCUUGAUCGAAGCCCCAGUAAACGGCGGCCGUAACUAUAACGGUCCUAAGGUAGCGAAAUUCCUUGUCGGGUAAGUUCCGACCUGCACGAAUGGCGUAACGACAGCGGCGCUGUCUCCACCCGAGACUCAGUGAAAUUGAAAUCGCUGUGAAGAUGCAGCGUUCCCGUGGCAAGACGGAAAGACCCCGUGAACCUUUACUAUAGCUUUACACUGAACGUUGAGUUCGUCUGUGUAGGAUAGGUGGGAGGCUAUGAAACUGUGGCGCUAGCUGCAGCGGAGCCAUCCUUGAAAUACCACCCUGUCGUGCUUGACGUUCUAACCUGGGCCCAUUAUCUGGGUCGGGGACCGUGUAUGGUGGGUAGUUUGACUGGGGCGGUCUCCUCCUAAAGAGUAACGGAGGAGCUCGAAGGUACGCUCAGCGCGGUCGGACAUCGCGCACUGUGUGCAAAGGCAUAAGCGUGCUUGACUGCAAGAUCGACGGAUCAAGCAGGUAGGAAACUAGGACUUAGUGAUCCGGUGGUUCUGUAUGGAAGGGCCAUCGCUCAACGGAUAAAAGGUACUCCGGGGAUAACAGGCUGAUACCGCCCAAGAGUUCAUAUCGACGGCGGUGUUUGGCACCUCGAUGUCGGCUCAUCACAUCCUGGGGCUGUAGUCGGUCCCAAGGGUAUGGCUGUUCGCCAUUUAAAGUGGUACGCGAGCUGGGUUCAGAACGUCGUGAGACAGUUCGGUCCCUAUCUGCCAUGGGCGUUGGAGAUUUGAGAGGGGCUGCUCCUAGUACGAGAGGACCGGAGUGGACGAACCUCUGGUGUUCCGGUUGUCACGCCAGUGGCAUUGCCGGGUAGCUAUGUUCGGAAGCGAUAACCGCUGAAAGCAUCUAAGCGGGAAGCGCGCCUCAAGAUGAGAUCUCCCGGGGCACAAGCCCCCUGAAGGAACCAUGUAGACUACGUGGUUGAUAGGUCAGGUGUGUAAGUACAGCAAUGUAUUGAGCUAACUGAUACUAAUGAUCCGUGCGGCUUGACCAU
rnacentral:rRNA from 1 species